GACGACGCUGGCGGCGUGGAUUAGGCACGCAAGUCGAACGGUAUCAUCCUUCGGGGGUGAGAGAGUGGCGAACUGGUGAGUAACACGUAGGUUAUCUACCCUCAAGACGGGGACAACCCAGGGAAACUUGGGCUAAUACCGGAUGUGAGCAACUUUUAGUUGUUUGAAAGGUGGCGUAAGCUGUCGCUUGGGGAUGAGCCUGCGUCCUAUUAGUUAGUUGGUGAGGUAACGGCUCACCUAGGCAAUGAUAGGUAGGCGGCCUUAACGGGUGGUCGCCCACACUGGGAUUGAGAUACGGCCCAGACUCCUACGGGAGGCAGCAGUCGAGAAUAGUCUACAAUGGUCGGAAGACUGAUAGUGCGACGCCGCGUGAACGAUGAAUCCCUUCGGGGUGUAAAGUUCUUUUAUAUGUGAGCAGUGCUUCUUAUAUUAACAGUAUGGGGAGAGAGAUAUUAGCAUAUGAAUAAGCAACGGCUAACUCCGUG
rnacentral:rRNA from 1 species